rnacentral:rRNA from 1 species
GACGAACGCUGGCGGCGUGCUUAACACAUGCAAGUCGAACGGAAAGGCCCUGCUUUUGUGGGGUGCUCGAGUGGCGAACGGGUGAGUAACACGUGAGUAACCUGCCCUUGACUUUGGGAUAACUUCAGGAAACUGGGGCUAAUACCGGAUAGGAGCUCCUGCUGCAUGGUGGGGGUUGGAAAGUUUCGGCGGUUGGGGAUGGACUCGCGGCUUAUCAGCUUGUUGGUGGGGUAGUGGCUUACCAAGGCUUUGACGGGUAGCCGGCCUGAGAGGGUGACCGGCCACAUUGGGGCUGAGAUACGGCCCAGACUCCUACGGGAGGCAGCAGUGGGGAAUAUAGCACAAUGGGCGGAAGCCUGAUGCAGCAACGCCGCGUGCGGGAUGACGGCCUUCGGGUUGGAAACCGCUUUCGCCUGUGACGAAGCGUGAGGGACGGGAAUGGGUAAAGAAGCACCGGCGAACUACGU